GUUUUGAUUUCAAGAAGUUUGGGUUUUUUCACUCUAUCAAUUGAAUUGUUAAAAUUGGAAUCAAAUCAUAGGUAUGGGUAGUAUUAGGGUUGGUGGUGGGUAGUGAUGGGUGGUAUAAGAUGGUGGUGGUGGAUGUUCGGUUUAUCAAUUAUAAAAAGCUAUGCGUUUGUUGUAAUUGAUCUUAAAUUUUCAUAUCUAGUUUACUUAUUUCAUACAAAAAUCUCUCAGGCUCUUUUCUCUGUUGCUUUUGUGGGUGGUGGUGGUGGAUGUAACAGCAGGUUCAGUUCCAAAUGUUUUAUUUAUGAGAUCGUUAUUCAUUCAAUAUAAACUGUGGUGGAAGAGAAGUCAUUGGAAAUGAUAAAACAAAAUACGACGUCGAUCAGGGUGCAGACGGUCCUUCAAAGUUUUACCAAAGCAAUCCUAACUACUGGGCUGUUAGCAGCACCGACGACUUCUUAACCAACAAUGGUAUUGCAUCAACUUCCAGCAAAUGAAUCACUCUCGACGAUCGACUCACACUUAUACCAGACAGCGCGCCUUUCUCCCCUCUCUCUAACUUACUACGGGUAUUGUUUAAUUAAUGGAAAUUAUCCGGUGAAACUCCACUUCGCUGAGAUAUUAUACCCAACUGAUGAAUCAUAUGUCAGUCUUGGGCGGCGUGUACUCAGUCUCUACAUUCAGGUAAAGCUAGAAUUGAAAGAUUUUGAUAUUGUAAAAGCAGCAGGUGGGGCUCGCAAACAGGUGAUCACCCCAAUUGACCUUCUACUGCUAAGGUUGAGAUAAGCAUUUUUUGGGGGCAUAUCUGCCUAUCAAAUUGCCCAAGGAUCUGUGUGAAAGGAACUGUGUCGAAGUUUUGAGGUUUGCUGCCGAAUCUGUGUGAAAUUGCUGCAGGAACUGUGUAAGGAAUUGAUCUUUUGAGGUAUCUCAUGAGUUUGAAUUAAUACAUGCCGCCCUGAUUUUUUUAAGGAGUUUCUGAGAAUAGCGUUCUUUGUAUUUGGAAUUUGUCCAAGAUUAAAAUUCUGAACGACAGGAUGAUUUCUAGCCAUAAAUCUAAGAUUUCCUAACCGUCUGUGUCUAAA